CCUUACUGGAAAUGACGUCAUAUUAUCCGAAGCCUCUCAGCUCGAAAAACAAUGGUGGACAUACUCUCAGCCAACGUUUGUUUACAAAUUAACCACUCGAUCCUGGGCAGGGUCGUAGUGCAUUCGUAGCCUGUCUGUGGAACACUGGGUGUGAGGCAAAUACACCCUGGAUGGGACGCUCUCUCGAGCACAUAUUCACACCUACAAACAAUUGUUGUGUGCACAACGUUUUGGGGAGGUGGAGGGAAACCAGAGAACCCCCAGAAAACCUUCAUGGACAUCAGGAGAACAUGCAAAAGUCAGCGCUGACAGUAACCUGAGCUUAGGAUCGAACCAAGGACAAUGGAGUUGUGAGGCAGCAACUUGAACUGUUGCCCCUAAACCAUGAAUUAUUUAAAUACGUAUAUACGUGUGUGUGUGUGUAUAUGUGUGUGUGUGUGUGUACAUUAAUCAAAUAAAAGUGAUGUUUUUUUCAAA